AUUUAUUUGUGGCUUGACCGACUUGAAUUUACAUCCCUUUUGAAGCAAAGGUGCAGUUAUAAAUUGAUUACUAGGGUUGUUGAGCUCCUUUGAGACAACAGAGAGAAGUUGAUAAAAACUUCCAUGUCUUGUUUUCUUUUCUGCUUUCAAUUUUCUUUUGGUGUGAGUGGUUGCUUUGGAGAGGUUCGCUUUGAUUCGGCGGAUCAAAAUUGGGUUCAUUCCACUUGCGUUUGGUUGCAGGUUGGGGAUUGAUAACCAUAUUUCAGAAACCUAAAAGUCCUCACAAAAAGUUUAAUUCAAAAAUUGAAAUGUAUGUAGAAAUAGAUGGAGACAUGGAGACAUGCAUACCUACAAGUGCAACUCAGCUACUUCGAUCUGAUGAACAAGAAGCAGAAUAUUAUACAUAUAUUUUACCACUUCACUCCAACUAAUACUCAAAUGCUCCUCCGCUGCAUUAUCAUUGUCUUCGUAAGCUAUUUCUAUAAAUAAACACACCUAAAGGGAAAAUGUUAAUCUUACACUUAAUCUGGGUCGAAUCUAAUUCUCCUGUUCUAUUCUAUUCC
rnacentral:lncRNA from 1 species